UUGUGUGUUUUUUUCUCUGUCUCGCUAUGACAGAGAAAUGUAUAUGCUCAAUAUUGCUGUUUAAACUGAUGCUCAAAUUUCCAAGCACCACCUGAACGCCUCAUCGGUCUUUAACUACUCACUGCACCAACUGUCGUCAUUCCGCUUUGCUCUCUGCUGUGGAACUUGACUGACAUCUGUGCUUUGCCUGUGUGCAGAAGAAGAACAAGGACCAGAUCUCCAGUCUUCUCUCUCACAUCCCAACCCCCCAACCCCUCUAUCCUCUGUACUGCUCCACCUGUUGUCUCUGCCUUCUUUCCAUCUGUAUUUCACCCUGUGGUUUGUGAGAAAUUUUGCCAAACCAAGAA